CUUUUUCCUUAGUGGUCGAGUAAUGCCACGGCAAGACCGAAGUCAUCGGUUCGAAUCCGAUAGAG
rnacentral:tRNA from 1 species